rnacentral:lncRNA from 1 species
GAGUAGCUGGGAUUAUAGGCGCCCACCACACACCCAGCGAAUUUUUGUAUUUUUAGUAGAUACGGGUUUCACCAGGUUGGCCAGGCUGUUCUCGAACUCCUGACCUCAGGUGAUCCACCUGCCUCGGACUCCCAAAGUGCUGGGAUUACAGGCGUGAGCCACCAUGCCCGGCCUGGAAUGCAGUGGUGCGAUCUUGGCUCACUGCAACUUCCACCUCCCAGGUUCAAGCAAUUAUCCUGCCUCAGCCUCCUGAGUAGUUGGGAUUACAGGCACACGCCACCAUGCCUGGCUAAUUUUUGUAUUUUUAGUAGAGACGGGGUUUCAAGGCUGUCUCUACCAAAGACCAACCUUGUUGGCAAGGCUGGUCUCGAACUCCUGACCUCAGGUGAUUCGCCCACCUUGGCCUCCCAAAGCAUUGGGAUUACAUGCAUGAGUCAGUGUGGCUGGCUCCUUCAUCAUUUUCUUUAAGGAACCCCUGGCUAUCAUAAACUGUUUUAGGUCCCUCAUGCAGCAGAAGGUGCAAGAGAAAGGAGAGACAGCAGAAGUAAAUGAAGAAAACAGAAUUCAGUCAACUGAGAAGAAAAAAAAAAUUUGCUUAAAAAAAAGACAAGGUCCUAGGAGAGAAACAAAAAUAUGAAGGCCUUUUAAACACACACACACAUACACACACACACACACACACACACGCAUACACAUCUUGGAUGUUAGUUUUCAACUAAGCUGACUUUUAACCAUUGAGAUCAUUUGGAAAAAAAAUCUUAAAAUCUCAUGUCCAUAUUUCAGCUAGGACAAAUUGCUGCUAUUUCAGAAGUACAGCCAUUGCUGUUUCAGUUUGGCCUGGCUAGCAAAAAGGCAGCCUUGUUAUGUAAAUAAAGGCCCUUUAGUAGUCAAAGUCAAAAAUCUUUCCUCUUUUUUUUCCUAGGUAGUGUAAUACCUCUUGCUUUGUUAUUUUCACUUAAGAUUGCUUUGACUACUUGAAGUCUUUUGUGGUUUCCUAUUCAUUUUAGGAUUAUGUGUUAUUGGUUUUUUUGUUGAGUUAUAGAAGUUCUUUAAAUAUUCUGGAUAUUAACCACCUAUCAGAUAUAUGAUUUGAAAAUCUUUUGUCCCAUUCUGUAAAUUUCCAUUUUACUUUCUUGAUAGUGUCCACAAAAGUUUUAUAAUUUGAUGUAGUUCCAUUUUGCUUUUGUUGUCUGUGCUUAUGAUGUCAUAUCCAAGAAAUCAUUGCCAAAUAUAAUGUCAUGAAGCUUUCCUCCCUUAUUUUCUGUUUUUAUUUUUAUUUUAUUUUAUUUUUUUAUUUUUUAUUUUUAGACAGAGUUGUUUCACUCUUGUUGCCCAGGCUGGAGUGCAAUGGCACGAUCUUGGCUCACCGUAACCUCUGCCUCCCAGGUUCAAGCGAUUCUCCUGCCUCAGCCUCCUGAGUAGCUGGGAUUACAGCAAUGCACCACCAUGCCCGACUAAUUUUCUUUGUGUUUUUAGUAGAGAUGGGUUUCUCCAUGUUGGUCAGGCUGGUCUUGAACUCCCGACCUCAGGUGAUCCACCUGCCUCAGCCUCCCAGAAUGCUGGGAUUACAGGCGUGAGCCACUGUGCCCGGCCUCCUCCCUUAUUUUCUUCUAAGAGUUUUAUAGAUUUAUCCCUUACAUUUAGUUACUUGAUACAUUUUAAAAUUAAUUUUUAAAAUAUUUUUCCUUUUUUUGAAACAGGGUCUCAUUCUGUCACCCAGGUUGGAGUGCAGUGGCAACAUCAUAGCUCACUGCAGCCUUGAACCCCUGGGCUCAAGUGAUCCUCCUGCUUCAGCCUCCUGAGUAGCUGGGGCUACAGGUGAGUGCCACCACAGCCUGCUAAUUUUUAAAUUUUUUGUAGAGAUGAGGUCUCUUUAUGUUGCCCAGGCUGGUCUUGGACUCCUGGGCUCAAGUAAUCCUUCUGCUUUAGCCUUCCAAAGUGCUGGGACUUUGAUGCAUCUUGAGCAAUUUUUAUAUAUGGUGUAAGGUAAAGAUAUUCCCUUUUUUUUUUUUUUUUUUNNNNNNNNNNACCCCUGGGCUCAAGUGAUCCUCCUGCUUCAGCCUCCUGAGUAGCUGGGGCUACAGGUGAGUGCCACCACAGCCUGCUAAUUUUUAAAUUUUUUGUAGAGAUGAGGUCUCUUUAUGUUGCCCAGGCUGGUCUUGGACUCCUGGGCUCAAGUAAUCCUUCUGCUUUAGCC